UACGAAGGGGGCUAGCGUUGCUCGGAAUCACUGGGCGUAAAGCGCACGUAGGCGGACUCUUAUGUCGGUGGUGAAAUCCUGGAGCUCAACUCCAGAACUGCCUUCGAUACUGGGAGUCUCGAGUCCGGGAGAGGUGAGUGGAACUGCGAGUGUAGAGGUGAAAUUCGUAGAUAUUCGCAAGAACACCAGUGGCGAAGGCGGCUCACUGGCCCGGUACUGACGCUGAGGUGCGAAAGCGUGGGGAGCAAACAGG
rnacentral:rRNA from 1 species